rnacentral:rRNA from 1 species
GACGAACGCUGGCGGCGUGCCUAAUACAUGCAAGUCGAACGCAGUGGGGACGGGUGAGUAACCCGUGGGUAACCUCCCAUCAGAGGGGAUAACACUUGGAAACAGGUGCUAAACCGAUACCGAUGGAUGGACCCGCGGUGCAUUAGCUAGGUGGUGAGGUAACGGCCCAUCAAGGCCACAAUGCAUAGCCCGCCAGAGAGGGUAAUCGGCCACACUAGGCCUGAGCCACGGCCCAGACUCCUACGAGAGGCAGCAGUAGGGAAUCUACGGCAAUGAACGAAAGUCUGACCGAGCAACGCCACAUGAGUGAAAAAGGUUUUCGGAUCGGAAAACUCUGUUGUUAGAAAAGCGGUAUCUAACCAGAAAGCCACGGCUAAAUACAUGCCAGCCGCCGCAAUAAUUC